rnacentral:rRNA from 1 species
GGCGGCGUGCUUAACACAUGCAAGUCGAGCGGUAAGGCCCCUUCGGGGGUACACGAGCGGCGAACGGGUGAGUAACACGUGAGCAAUCUGCCCUCACUUUGGGAUAACUCUGGGAAACGAGAGCUAAUACCGAAUACGACCACUUCAGGCAUCUGAUGGUGGUGGAAAGUUCCGGCGGUGAAGGAUGAGCUCGCAGCCUAUCAGCUAGUUGGUGGAGUAACGGCCACCAAGGCUUCGACGGGUAGCCGGCCUGAGAGGGUGACCGGCCACACUGGGGCUGAGACACGGCCCAGACUCCUACGGGAGGCAGCAGUGGGGAAUAUUGGACAAUGGGCGAAAGCCUGAUCCAGCAACGCCGCGUGAGGGAUGACGGCCUUCGGGUUGUAAACCUCUUUCAGUAGGGACGAAGCGCAAGUGACGGUACCUACAGAAGAAGCACCGGCCAACUACGUG